rnacentral:rRNA from 1 species
GAUGAACGCUAGCUACAGGCUUAACACAUGCAAGUCGCGGGGCAGCAUGGGGGUUGCUUGCAACCCCCGAUGGCGACCGGCGCACGGGUGAGUAACGCGUAUCCAACCUGCCCUUCACCACGGGAUAACCCGGCGAAAGUCGGACUAAUACCGUAUGUUGUCCAUUGACGGCCUCCGAUUUGGACGAAAGGUUUGGCGGUGAAGGAUGGGGAUGCGUCCGAUUAGCUGGACGGCGGGGUGACGGCCCACCGUGGCGACGAUCGGUAGGGGUUCUGAGAGGAAGGUACCCCACACUGGAACUGAGACACGGUCCAGACUCCUACGGGAGGCAGCAGUGAGGAAUAUUGGUCAAUGGGCGUAAGCCUGAACCAGCCAAGUAGCGUGCAGGAGGACGGCCCUAUGGGUUGUAAACUGCUUUUAUGCGGGGAUAAAGUGGCCCACGUGUGGGUUUUUGCAGGUACCGCAUGAAUAAGGACCGGCUAAUUCCGUG